GGCCUCGAAUCAGGUAGGGAUACCCGCUGAACUUAAGCAUAUCAAUAAGCGGAGGAAAAGAAACCAACAGGGAUUGCCUUAGUAACUGCGAGUGAAGCGGCAAGAGCUCAAAUUUGAAAUCUGGCGCCUUUGGCGUCCGAGUUGUAAUUUGGAGAGGCAUCUUCGGGUGCGGCGCCGGCCUAAGUUCCUUGGAACAGGACGUCAUAGAGGGUGAGAAUCCCGUUCUCGGCUGGCUGUCCGCGUCCAUGUGAAGUGUCUUCGACGAGUCGAGUUGUUUGGGAAUGCAGCUCAAAAUGGGUGGUAAACUCCAUCUAAAGCUAAAUACUGGCGAGAGACCGAUAGCGCACAAGUAGAGUGAUCGAAAGAUGAAAAGCACUUUGAAAAGAGAGUUAAAAAGUACGUGAAAUUGUUGAAAGGGAAGCGCUUGAGACCAGACUCGGCGGGAGGUAUUCAUCGUCCCUUCUGGGGCGUGCACUUGCCUCUCGUCGGGCCAGCAUCGGUUGCGGCGGCGGGAUAAAGACCCGGGGAACGUGGCUGCUCUCGGGCAGUGUUAUAGCCCCGGGUGUCAUGCCGCCUGCUGCGACCGAGGACCGCGCUCGGCUAGGAUGC
rnacentral:rRNA from 1 species